AGGAACUUAGGCUAACCACUAGACCAAGGGCCUUCAAAGCCCUAAGUGGGAGUGAAAAUCUCCCAGUUCCUG
rnacentral:tRNA from 5 species